rnacentral:rRNA from 1 species
AUUGAACGCUGGCGGCAGGCCUAACACAUGCAAGUCGAGCGAGCGGCGGACGGGUGAGUAAUGUCUGGGGAACUGCCCGAUGGAGGGGGAUAACUACUGGAAACGGUGGCUAAUACAGCAUACUAUCGGAUGAACCCAGAUGGGAUUAGCUAGUAGGUGGGGUAAAGGCUCACCUAGGCGACGAUCUCUCGCUGGUCUGAGAGGAGGAUCAGCCACACUGGGAAUGAGACACGGCCCAGACUCCUACGGGAGGCAGCAGUGGGGAAUAUUGCACAAUGGGGGCAAGCCUGAUGCAGCCAUGCCGCGUGUAUGAAGAAGGCCUUAGGGUUGUAAAGUACUUUCAGCGAGGAGGCGUUACUCGCAGAAGAAGCACCGGCUAACUCCGUGCCAGAAGCCGCGGUAAUUC